rnacentral:rRNA from 1 species
GACGAACGCUGGCGGCGUGCUUAACACAUGCAAGUCGAACGGAAAGGCCCUGCUUUUGUGGGGUGCUCGAGUGGCGAACGGGUGAGUAACACGUGAGUAACCUGCCCUUGACUUUGGGAUAACUUCAGGAAACUGGGGCUAAUACCGGAUAGGAGCUCCUGCUGCAUGGUGGGGGUUGGAAAGUUUCGGCGGUUGGGGAUGGACUCGCGGCUUAUCAGCUUGUUGGUGGGGUAGUGGCUUACCAAGGCUUUGACGGGUAGCCGGCCUGAGAGGGUGACCGGCCACAUUGGGACUGAGAUACGGCCCAGACUCCUACGGGAGGCAGCAGUGGGGAGUAUUGCACAAUGGGCGGAAGCCUGAUGCGGCGACGCCGGGUGCGGGAUGACGGCCUUCGGGUUGUAAACCGCUUUCGCCUGUGACGAAGCGUGAGUGACGGUAAUGGGUAAAGAAGCACCGGCUAACUACGUG